UACGAAGGGUGCAAACGUUGCUCGGAAUUAUUGGGCGUAAAGCGCGCGUAGGCGGCUUGGCAAGUCGGAUGUGAAAUCUCCCGGCUCAACUGGGAGGGUGCGCCGAAUACUGAGGGACUAGAGUACGGGAGAGGAAAGUGGAAUUCCUGGUGUAGCGGUGAAAUGCGUAGAUAUCAGGAGGAACACCGGUGGUGUAGACGGCUUUCUGGACCGUAACUGACGCUGAGACACGAAAGCUAGGGGAGCAAACAGG
rnacentral:rRNA from 1 species